CCCGCAACGAGCGCAACCCUUGAUCUUAGUUGCCAUCAUUAAGUUGGGCACUCUAAGGUGACUGCCGGUGACAAACCGGAGGAAGGUGGGGAUGACGUCAAAUCAUCAUGCCCCUUAUGACCUGGGCUACACACGUGCUACAAUGGACGGUACAAAGAGCUGCAAGACCGCGAGGUGGAGCUAAUCUCAUAAAACCGUUCUCAGUUCGGAUUGUAGGCUGCAACUCGCCUACAUGAAGCUGGAAUCGCUAGUAAUCGCGGAUCAGCAUGCCGCGGUGAAUACGUU
rnacentral:rRNA from 1 species